GACGCCCGGCGGCAGGGGCGGGCAGGCGGCGGAGGGGGGCGCGAAGGGGCCGCAGGUGCUGGAGUUGGCGGGGAAGGCGCUGUCCAUGGUGCUGGGCGGAGGAGCGCGCAGGACGCGCCGCCGAGCAGCAGGUGAAAACCUUGACUGCACUGAAGACUGUCAAGAAGCCCCAGGGAUUAGUCCCAUUAAGAACAAGACUCAUUAAGCAAAAUUUCAGAGAGGGAGGCCAGACGAUGGAGGAAGGAGAAGAUGCUAAAGACAAAAUAAAACACAAGGAGUGGUCUACUGUUUAAAUAUGCCUUCCAGAGGGAAUUUUCUGAAGACUCUCAUUUCAUACUACUGUAACUGCCUCUGGAGACCAGGUCUAUGCCUGAAAGUGAAAUAGGCCUUGCGACCUUGAUCAAAGCUGUGGAAAAAUGUUGCAUCGAAUGCAAUGUAGUUAAGUCAACCUAGCCACACCCACCCCUUGUAAUUGCAGCUAGGUUGACGGAAGGAUAGCUACUGCAUCUCAAGGGGGUGGAUUUACUACAGCAAUGGAAAACCCCCUUCUGUUGCUGUAGCUAGUGUCUACACUAAAGUGGUAUUGGUGCAGCUGUGUCACUGUAGUGCUUGGAGUGUAGACAGGAAUUUUCUAGCUCCCGGAACACUGAACUUAGCCUCCGAGAUGCUACCCUUUGGACUACAGCAACAGUGGCUCUAUAGCCUCCACAUACCAUCUCCCAGACUGCUUAGGAUCUUGGGGUGGGGACAGAAUAGACUGGAAAGGCCUACCAAAGCCAGCGGGGAGCACUGGAUGGAGUGAUUUAUAUAGGCAAUUUGCUAGGCCAAUGAGAAGUGAGGGCUGCUCAGUUUAAGGGGGUGGGGAUGGGCGAAUUCAGGCUGUCUCAGAGACAAAGGGACUCAUUCAGAUUUCAGUUUCAGGCUGUUUGAGUUUGGAAUACUAAAACAUCAUUGGCAUUUCUAAACAUUAUAGACAACAAUUUCCUAACUCAAAAAGCAUUGCAGCCACCCUAGUGGAAUACUUUAUCUUAACAAAUAAAGAGGAACUGGUCACCUCUCUGAACCUCAAGGGUUCUUGGCCAUAGGCCAUUUAACAUUUUUGUCAAUGAUCUGGAAGAAAACAUGAAAUCAUCACUGACAAAGUUAGCAGAAAGCAUAAAAAAUUGGGGGAGUGGUAAAUAAUAAAGAGGACAGGUCACUGAUUCAGAAUGAUAUGUAUCACUUGGUAAACUGGGCACAAGCAAACAAUAUGCAUUUUAAUAUGCUAGCAUAAAUGUAUACAUCUCGGAACAAAGAAGCAGUCCAUACUUAUAGGAUGGAGGACUCUAUUCUGGGAAGCAGUGACUCUGAAAAAUAUUUGGGGGUUGUGGUGGAUAAUCAGCUGAACAUGAACUCCCAUUGGGAGGCUGUGGCCAAAAGGGCUAAUGUAAUUCUGGGAUGCAUAAACGGGAAUCUCGAGUAGGAGUAAAAGUAUUAUUUUACCUCUGUUUGGCACUGGUGAGACUGCUGCUGGAAUACUGUGACCAGUUCUUGUGCCUACAAUUCAAGAAGGAUGUUGAUAAAUUGGAGAGAGUUCAGAGAAAAUACACAGGAAUGAUUAAAGGAUUAGAAAACAUGAAAGAGUUCAAUUUAUUCAGCAUAACAAAAAGCAGGUUAAUGGAUGACUUGGUUGUAGUCUACAUGGGGAACAAAUAUCUAAUUAUGGGCUCUUUAAUCUAGCAGAAAAUUGUAUAAUAAAAUUAAUUGAAGCUAGACAAAUUUAGACUGGAAAUAAGACAAACAUUUUUUAACAGUGAGAGUAAUUAACCAUUGGAACACUUUAACAAGGGUCAUGGUGGAUUCUCCACUAUUGGCAAUUUUAAAAUCAAGAUUGGAUGGUUUUCUACAAUAUCUGCUCUAUGAACUAUUUUUGCAAAAUUCUCUUGCCUGUGUUAUGCAGGAGGUGAGACUAGAUGAUUACAAUGGUCCCUUCUGGCCUUGGAAUCUAUGAAUCUAUGGAGCAGAGAGAGGAGCAACUGUCAACUCCCAUUCCUCACACAAAAGGAGACUUUGAAUUAUUGUGGGAUUUAGUAUGUGGUCAAGUUGUGCCAGCCCUUCAAAAACCAGCAAUCAGGGAGGCAGAGAACCAAUCCACUACUGACUACCUAGAGCCAGCCAAGACCUCCACAUGACUCCAGAUUAGGGAUCCAGGAGAGAAACCGGUCCCAGGGGUGAAGACACAAUAAGGGAAGCCCUUUCUUUUUGUCAAGCUGCCCAACAUUCACAGUGCUGCAGCACUCAUCACAGGAUUUAUCCUCUGUGCCCCAUCUGCCUGUAAAGGUGGUAGGCAGGGAAUGGGGGUAUAUGUGCAGUGGGGAAUGUAGGGAGAAGGGGAAUUUGUUAUAUUGUUGAUCUAGUAUUUUAGUUCAUCUUAAUCCUUUCUUUACCUAGAGCCUUUGUUUCCUGUCUCCAGUCAAGUCCCCUGUGUUAUAUUGUUCUAAUCUGAGUGUAGCAUUUAAUUGGCGGGGUAUUGUGUUUUGUUAUCCAUGUGCUGGGUUAUAUUCCUGGUGAAUAGGGAGAUGAUAUUAGUUAUUUUCCCAAUGGACAGCACCUCUUGUGUCCCAGGCACAGAGAGGAGUCACCUUGCAUGGAGGCACCAGGCUGAAAUAAAGGACCCAGGACCUAACCCCUGCGAGGAGUGGAGAGAAGCCUCUCUUAUUAGUGAGCAUGAGGGAAGAAGUUUAAGCCAGGCCUUGUGGGAGGGACUACUCUUGCUGCUAGCAUAGACUAGGUACAAUCAAAACAAAAGCAAUAUGUCUGGAUACUAGUGAGGACUAUUAAACCUAAAUUUUGUGUCAUUUGUUUGAAGUGCAAUCAAAUGGGUUAUGAGGACACAAUACAGUUCAGUACAUCUUAAAUUUAAAAAUUAAAGGUCAAACCACACUCUCAGUCACAAAGAUAUUUUAUUUUUGCUUUCCCCCCCUACUUUUUCUCUCUUACAUCUUACCUCGUUAAUUUUAUAAUAGCGAGCAGGUACGUUUGGGAAAAUAAGUCCACCACUAAAAGACAAAUGCCUAGAUUUGUUGCUAUGCUUUGGCUGCUUUUUGCUAUCCCAGUUGAUACAAAACAGCUGUAAACCCAUCUUAACCUGCCAGGUAAACUGGGUUUAUGGGUGCUUUUGCAUCAUUAGAGAAAUGCAAAACAGCAGGCAUGUGCUGCUGAAUCUGGCCCAAGGUUUAUAUUUACCAUUUGCUAAAGUAUUGUAUCCCGCCCCGCCGUUUUAUUUCACAUUCCCUCCAUCCUGUAGAGUUAUGCGUUCACAGAUAAUAUGACAUUUAGGUGGGGGUACCUCAGCCCACCUCUCCCCUGAGCUUUGCUUUAUAUCUUAUGAGGAAAAAAUCACUUUCCCUUCAGAUCUUGUCCUUUUCUACUCAUUCCUGCUGUAUUAUAGAACACUCAAGAUUGCAUAGUAACCUCUAUUCAAACUCAUUGAAAUGUGUCUCUGUGCCUUACCUUGCACCAAGGACAGGCACAUAGAUCUCCUAUUUCCUUCUUCGGUGCACGUAGUUUUCUUUGGAAUUGUGCUUCCAUCUCUAUGUCCAGCUAGCUCCAUGGGCUGAAGAAGGGUGUUUGUGUGUGUGAGAGAGACAGACAGAGAGAGAUUAUAGGUCUGCUCCUUAUGUAUCCAUCUUUGGGUUACUGACACCCCUCAGGAGCUCUAGGAGGAGUGGUUUUCCCAAUGCUCUUUUCUUUGUGUAAGGGAUGCCUCACCUUAGCUCACCCAUACUAUAGCCAGGAAUAGUCUGGUCCAUAAUCAUUAGUGGGAGCUAUUGGACUGAACACUAGAAGCACUUGAGCCCUUGCACAAUGUGUACAAUUUAGGAACAUGAAGUACUCUAUCUCUCCCUGCACUAUAUGGCAAGGGACUUCAAUGGAACUCAAAAAUCUGUGAUGCUCAUUCAGCACAUCAGUGGGUGCAUCGAUUCUGAGUGUACUCUUCUCUGGUACUUAGGGCACUAAUGUGCAUUAUUCUCUUCAUGCUAUCUGUGAACCAGGCACCCCAUGUUGGUCACAGAUGGGGGAUACACAGUCUAUACCCAGGGACUUGCCUAGAUAUGGCCCACGUUUCCCCUGGGUUCAUCAUCUUCACAAUAUUUCACCAAAGGGGGACAUGUAUGGCCCCUGCCAAUAGAUAAGUACUUGCUGGUUACCAUGGCUAUUGCAGGAUUUAUGUACAUGAAAUAUUUUAAGAGUUAUGUAACAUGUAGACUAAUAGAAAAGGAGUACUUGUGGCACCUUAGAGACUAACCAAUUUAUUUGAGCAUGAGCUUUCGUGAGCUACAGCUCACUUCAUCAGACUAAUGUAUUCCAAAGCGGCUGAAAGUUGAGCUGGUCACUUGGAGCAGUGUGGUUCUGAGAGCUAACUCAAGGAAAAGUCAGAAUAAUUAGCAUCUUUUGACCCAGCCCAGGCAAAUGUUGACAAUCUUGACAAGUUGGAGGCUUGCACCUUUCCAAAACACAAAAGAGCCCGGGAAAAAGAUCUCUAAUAGGGAACCAGCGGGAAGUGAAGUUAACCAAAUGCCCUGGGUAUGAAAAAAGACAAAAGGCCGGGAACUGCAUAAUAGAAAAAAUAAGGGUGCAAGAUGGCAUCUAUUAUAGAGGUAACACUCAGCCAGUAUGAGAGUCUCAUGAAAAGUGGAUCCCAGCUCUCUUGACUGGACAAGUGCUGUUCAGACUGACGAUUGGGUGAGAAAAAAACCUGAUUAGGCAGGAAAGGGUCUUGUUAAUAAUUAUAGGCUCUAGAUUGCAUUUGAUAUUUUUCUUGUUGCAUUUUUUCUUCAUGGUUUCUAAUCCCUAUACUUACUUCUAUUUGAAUCUUUGUCUUAAGCUUUGUCAAAUAAACUUGUCUUUGUUUUUACUAUAGACACGACUAAGAGAAGUGUGCUAAGGUUAAACUAAGGCAAAAUUAGUGAACUGGCUUUCAUGAAAGCAACAAAUCUGUGUGCAUUGUGGGUGUUCAGAAGUUGAGGGACUGGCACUCGAGUGUAACAAAGUGGGGUGUACUGACAGGUUGGAGGGACCUGUGCCAGAGCAGAACCCUGGGGGCUAACUAUCUCCAUAGAUUUAGCCACAGGUUGUUAUCUUUGCUUUGUCCCAGGGACUCACUUAGGGGCCUAAGGACUGGGGUGUACAAAUUGCUAGCCUGCAGAGGGAAAGAGCAGAGCUUGUGGAUUCCAGCCUGGGGGUGGUUUUGUUGCCAGCAGCUGAUAGUUUUGGGGGAGUUUCCAAGGGUGGGCAAACAAGGCUGGUUUGUGUUAUAAGCAGAUAGUAGCAAUUCACCCUGUGCAAGUCAUUUAACCUCUCUAUGUUCUAGUUUUUCCACCUGUGUAACGGGGAUAAUAAUACUUGUUAGGCUUCAUUAAUAAUUG